rnacentral:rRNA from 1 species
GCCUCAGUAACGGCGAGUGAAGCGGCAAGAGCUCAAAUUUGAAAGCUGGCUCCUUCGGGGUCCGCAUUGUAAUUUGCAGAGGAUGCUUCGGGAGCGGUCCCCAUCUAAGUGCCCUGGAACGGGACGUCAUAGAGGGUGAGAAUCCCGUAUGGGAUGGGGUGUCCGCGCCCGUGUGAAGCUCCUUCGACGAGUCGAGUUGUUUGGGAAUGCAGCUCUAAAUGGGUGGUAAAUUUCAUCUAAAGCUAAAUAUUGGCCGGAGACCGAUAGCGCACAAGUAGAGUGAUCGAAAGAUGAAAAGCACUUUGAAAAGAGAGUUAAAAAGCACGUGAAAUUGUUGAAAGGGAAGCGCUUGCGACCAGACUCGCUCGUGGGGUUCAGCCGGCAUUCGUGCCGGUGUACUUCCCCGCGAGCGGGCCAGCGUCGGUUUGGGCGGUCGGUCAAAGGCCCUCGGAAGGUAACGCCCCCUCGGGGGCGUCUUAUAGCCGAGGGUGCAAUGCGACCUGCCUGGACCGAGGAACGCGCUUCGGCUCGGACGCUGGCAUAAUGGUCGUAAGCGACCCGUCUUGAAACACGGACCAAGGAGUCUAACAUCUACGCGAGUGUUC